rnacentral:rRNA from 1 species
UACGUAGGGACCAAGCGUUGUUCGGAUUUACUGGGCGUAAAGGGCGCGUAGGCGGCAUGACAAGUCACUUGUGAAAUCUCCGGGCUUAACUCGGAACGGUCAAGUGAUACUGUCGCGCUAGAGUGCGGAAGGGGCAAUCAGAAUUCUUGGUGUAGCGGUGAAAUGCGUAGAUAUCAAGAGGAAUACCUGAGGUGAAGACGGGUUGCUAGGCCGAACACUGA